AUGUAUAAGGUUGAUCCUGGUUCUCUUUCCCUGACCUCUUCCAGUUUUCCAAACCCUAAACACAGCAGCGCGAUCAAGGGAACCUCUAUUCUUUUCCCUAACCUAUUCCAGUUUUCCUAACCCUAAACACAGCAGCGCCGCACGUUCUUCCUCUUCAUCUGAAUUUCGGUCUCCGAUUGCUGAAAAAAGGUAAAAAAAAAGCAUGCCUUUUCCAAAUUUUCAGGCGAGCCUCGACUGGAUGGAUAGUCUAGACUGGAUGAUGGUCUAGAGCUGACAGCUUUCUUUUUGUUCGAACUUUUGGAUUUGGAUUUCUUGAUAGUGAUUGAUCUUUUAGGUCGAAAUGGAAAACAAGAUCGAAAAGGUAUCGGAUAAUAGACACAAAGUUAUGCCUGGGCUUAAAAGAAAACGAGCAUCACGAUACGCCACAUAUUUUGCUCGAGCUUCCAGACUUGUAUCACCCGAUUGGCCUGUUGUGAAUUUUUCAACCCAUAGGCGUGGGAAGCAACAGCGACUAGCUGGGAGCGAACGCAAACUUGCGAGCUGUAGGUAUCAUUCCAGAAGAUCUUUGCUGCGGUGUUAUACAAAUUUUGAGAAGACUCGGGUGCCACAACGUCUUAUGUUUUAUCAAAAUGGUGAGUGGAGGGACUUUUCCCAAGAUAUCGUGGAAUUGGUUAGAAAGGAUCUGCAAGAGAAGAAACCAGUUGUUGAGGUUGAUUUGAAAGGUCACCGUUAUGUGCUGGAUUUCUUGCAUAUGUUUGGAAUGGACCGGAAGACGGGGUUACAGGAACCAAUUGCUUGGAUUGAUGAAGCAGGUGGAUGCUUCUUUCCAGAAAUUUAUAUCGAUGAUGAGGAGCCAGAUGAGCAAAAUUGUGCAAUUGUUCAAGAGCCUAUGAGUAAGGAGUCUUAUGGUCCCCAUGAGAUCAAGCUGCAGCUUGAAAUUGACAUUAACGGAGUGGAUCGAUCUAAGUUAAAAGAGUGCAGCGGGGAGUCAAAUGGACUCGUCAAGCAUAUUCAAAUUGAUCAGAACCCUACUAAUGGCAAUUAUGUUGUAGAAGUGGACGAUAGUUGCAACAGGAUGGAUGAUGAAAGAGUUGAUGAAAGAGUUGAGGAGAAUAAACAUGUUAAAGCAGAUUUCGAUACUGUAAGGAAUAUGUUCCUUGCAGGCAUGGGCUGUGUUGGUGGUGCUGACAUACUUGAUAUUCAUCGCUUCUCUAGCUCUUCGAUGCAAAUACGGCUGGAGCUUUUCCAAAAGCAGAUUGAAUUAACAAAAAAGUGUCGCGGUGAUGCCAAUGUUAGAUACGCCUGGCUUGCUGCUUCCAAAAAGCUACUGUCUACUAUCAUGCUCUAUGGGCUUGGACAUUGUGGACCUUCUACUACUAAGUCCAAAUAUGGCAUUGGUGUUCAUCUCUAUGCAGCAAACUGCUGUGACGCCAGUGCAAAGUUCUGUGAUGUUGACGAAAAUGGAAUACGAUACAUGGUGCUUAGCCGAGUAAUAAUGGGACAAAUGGAGCUUGUUCAGCCUGGGAGUUUGCAGAGUCAUCCUAGUAGUGAGAACUUUGAUAGUGGCGUUGAUGACCUUCAAAAUCCAAGACAAUUUAUAGUGUGGAAUAUGAAUAUGAACACCCACAUAUAUCCAGAAUUUGUUGUUAGUUUCAAGGUCUCCUCUAAUGUUGAAGGGUUUUUAGUUGGAAAUGACAUUAAGCAUGCUGUUUCUGGCAUAACAGUGUCAUCGCGAGGGCCCCAUUUUAAUUUGGCUAUGGAGGCCUCAAAUGUUGAUCUGAAUCUACCAGUAAAGUCCUCUGUUGUUGAUUUAAAUUUACCAACAGAAUCUCCUGUGAUUCAUUCUGGAAGCGAAAGCCAACCACUCUCAGGGGGAUCUCUAGAGAAAGCUUCAAGUCUAGGUUCGAGUAAUAUGAAGACUCCCAAAUCUCCUUUUAUGCCGUUUCCUAUGUUGUUUACUGCAAUCUCAAAUAAAGUUCCCAGUAAAGAAAUGGAACUUGUACUUGCGCAUUAUGAACAGUUCCAGGCCAAGAAGAUAAGCAGGGGAGAUUUUAUUAAAAGGCUAAGACUGAUAGUUGGAGAUGCUUUGUUGAAGUCAACUAUAACAAGUCUUCAGAGUAAGCGAUUUCCUUCCAGCUAUUAUAUUGAGCAGUUUGAAUCUGAAGUCAAGGAAUGAAUGUAGCUCGACUCUAAUUACAGGAGGCGAUCAGAAGUUGAAAGAGUUGUUUCCUCUUUCACUAUCCAAGAAUGACUGGAUUACGUCUGUUGAUUCUGUGGCAUUCAGGUUUGUGGUUGAGACGCCUAAGCUGAAUGUUUGAGGAUGAAAGUGAGCAUCAAUGACGGGGUUGAAUGUGUCGACAUGAAGUUGUGAAUAAUAAUAUAAUGGCUCUCUCUAGGUUAAUGUGUGUCAAGUAGACUGGUAGAUUUCUUUUAUUUUCUGUGACUUUUUAACUGUUAACAAUUGAUUCAACAAUUUGCUACUUCAUUAUGUAUGGUUAUGCGAAUGUCUUAUCUUAAGUGAUACUAUUACCAGGUUGAAA